rnacentral:tRNA from 2 species
AAAAAAGGCCGGAAUAG